ensembl:lncRNA
UUUUUUUCCCCAGUACUACAAAGUGGCCACUGCAAAACCAAUUUUUACUGAAUUAAGUUUCUUUCUUAUCAAAGAAAGUUCUCACAGAAGUUGUCCUUGGUUAGGGGAGGAUGACAGUUCUGAAGGGCAGCAGGAUCAAGAUCAGGAACUGUAGCAUGCCACCUUGGCUAUAAUACCCACCAACUUCCUUCAGAGAUGUAAUUACAAGAUGGAAGCUUGACAGUCUGUCCCCAAAAAGGUCCUGAAUGGAGAACACAGACACCCAUCCAGAUGAAGACAGUGAGGAGCUCUGGUGUGCACCUCUCCUUGUCAGAGGGCUGAGGUGCUGAAAAGGUAAAUGCUGUGCUUGGCUCUGUGCCCCACAGGCUGCUGUGGUCCAGCACAGGGUAUGGGCAGGAAUGGGGCUCCAGGGAAUGGAGCACUCCAGACUACUGUGUAUGGCUGAAGGCUGGUUUACCUUCUCAUAGAGAAAUAAUGGAGAAGGUAUUUAGAGAAACGGCUUACUAUUACUGCUGCUGACAGAGUAACAGUUCAGAAGUAGCUAAGUGGUCAUAACAAACAGGUAAGAAACCCUAAAGUUCAUGAAUAGCAACACUGCAGGAGGCUCAGCACAACUGUUACACAUAAAAAACAACAGCCACUUUCUUCUACAUCCUCUGCAGCCUCAUUAAAGCACAGGCUUGCAAACUCAACGUUUUCAUACCAAAUUACAGAGCUAAGUUUCAAGGCAAACAUAUGUAAACACCCAUUAGGUAAGCGUUAAUAAUUCACAGCAAGAUGCCAGCUUGCCAGUAAGACAUUUAAUGGGCAAAGAAACCAUUGCAAAAGGUCGGUGGAAUAAACUGGGUAACUUUCAAACAAAAGGAAUUGCUUUCUGUAUUAGUAUUGUUCAUAAAGACUUUAUUUUGCUGCUCUUGUUUUUUUAAAUAAAAGUGGUUUUGCUAUAAUAUUUUUGCUAAUGUUUAUAUUUGUGUACUUAAAAUCACACAUAUAAUCUCUUCCUUUUCUGAUGAUGAUUCCUCUGCCUUUGCCAGCCAAAAGGGCAGAAUGGGGCUGUAUCAAGUGUCAACCAGACACCAGGAUUCAGUUGCCUACCACAGGGGGUGGUACCCUGUGCUGGUGGCAAACAGCUACCACAGUACUCGGGAAACUGGUUCAUAAGUAGCAGCAUACCACACACUCAGCAGAUUGAUGGGGUAACAGCAACACUGCCCAGGGGGAUUGAAAAAGAUUGUAGGACACCUCCUGGGAAGAGGAAUAAAACUGCCCCAGGGCAGGAGCUGUCAGAGUCCCAGCCAGGUUGGGACAGGAGACAAGUGGGGUGGUGAGCUAUCCCUGCAUGGGCAGGAGCUGAACUUGGUUUUAUGCUUCACCUCUGGGUAAUCCCACACAUAAAGGUGUCAAACUCCUUUCAUAGUACAAGAAUGAUCCAACACCACCCAAGUAAGCUAUAACAUGUGCUAAUCCCAACAGACUUAGUUCUGUACAAAUAAAAGCACACUGAUCCUUAAAUACAUUUGCUUUUAACUCAUUAUUAUUGUGAUUUACCAGAAUAGUAGGUUUUAUUAUAUUUCUUAGCUUAGUCACUGUGGGACUGUGGCUGCACUAUUUUGGGACCUCAACAGACUGUGUGGCACAGCCAUACACUGCAUCAGCUUCCCAGUUUAGAGAUCUUUACACCAUGCCACACUGUACAUCUACACACAGUCUCCAGGACACUGGGAAAAUCUGAUGCCUGCGGAAAGGGAGGCAGAAAGGUAACAAAGAUGAGUAUAUGAAGCAUUCCUCUUACCACUGACCCUUGUCUAGGAGCUAAAGGAAGCUGGUUUUAUAUACAAAUCAUCAAUACACAGCCUUUUCAAUACAAAACCCAAGUAGAAAUCCUGUGCAAACUGCUUUCUUCUCAGUUGCUCUGGUAUUCUCUUCCCUCACCUUUCCAAUACAAUGAUGCUCUGCUUACAUUCAUCCACAAUGCUCUGCAAAGGCAUCUUGGCUUUGAUGGUGCCACCUUUUUCUUUGUAGCAUUCCAUUUUAUCUCAGCCUGUUAUCACAUGAAAUAUUGAGCAUUUUCCUUCCUAACUAGACCCAUCCUUUCCAUCAUCCUCAUUUACAGCCUAUGUUCAUUCCACCAUGUCAGGUCUCUGUCACCCAGUUUCCUGCACUUAUCUCCUUUGCCCCUCAUUUCUGAAGAAAUUGCCACUGAAAAUUAUUAUAUUAUAGUAAUUAUUAUUAUUAUUAUACUUUAUUAUCUUUAUUAAUGUAUUUUAUUAUAUGUAUUAUUAUGCUUAUUAUGAUAAUAUUGUCCCCAUGGUUUAAGAAUCUCUAAAACUUAGCAAGGCCAAACAUUUGUUUGCUGAGUCCACUAAAUAUGACAAAACAGUCUCUGUACAAAUCUUGGUGCAACUGUAUCUAUUGUCUCUUAUGUAAAAUUUCUGGAAAUAAAAGUCUCUUGUGUUUAUACACCUUGUACAGUGAUGUCCUAACCCACGAACAGGGUGCCAAGAUACUAUGGUAAUGUAAAAAUCACCUCUGCAAUGCAAGGCGACCUAUGAUGCAGGGAUGCCUACACAAAUUCUCUGGAUUCUGUAUGGAUUUGCACACUGCUGGAUGCCCAUUUCUGUCCCUCAACCCCCCACAGUCAGGGCAGAAACAACAGAUACUCUUAUCACUCACUUUUACCGUCUCAUCCCUAAUUUGGGCAUAAUCCAAAUUUAAACCAGUUAUCUAAUUAUCAUUUCUCUAGGCUGUGUGGUUUCCAGAAAUAACCAAUGCUGCAUCCCCUUCCCCCAUCAGGGAAACACACCUAGCAGCAAUUGCCAAACCCCACCCAUGUCCCAGUGCCCUACUGUGUAGGACCCUGUGGCACAGAGCCCUAACCCUCACAGCAGACACUUCCCACAGCCUUGCCUGGAUUAGCCACCAAAUCCACAGGUGCACCUGCAGCUCUGGUUUUUCAAGCCCUGUCCCUCCCCAGUGCUUCAGUGACCCACCCUCAGGCAGCUCCUAAGGACCAAGCAAUGACCUGCCCACUGCCUCUGUCCCACUCUUUGGGAGGAACUCGAAAGAUACGCUAACAAGCAUCUGAGCUGUGCAUGCUGUAAAUAAACUAUAUAUUAUUACAGAGUGGAUGUAGCCCUAAUCCAUAGCACCAGAGGAGGAAGAAGGAAAAUGCAAAAACUUUCCUAAUCCCUGCAGCAAAAUCUGUAAUUGAGCCUUUUCCAAACUGAGCAAAUUAAUUUUUCCCUCAAUGGUUCUGAGCACUGUCUCAACCCUUUUUAUUCAAAUAUUUCCUAAAAAGCUGGGAAGAACAAAAGCAAAAUCAGAAACAGAAUAUUUCCAGAGUCAUCCUAACACAAAACAUGGACAAAUAUUUCUUAAUUUCUUUCAAAUUCAGUAUGUUAGAUCCUUUUCUACACAUUGAUGUUGCGCCAGUUGAACAUAAUUCACUAAUUCCUCACUCUAAAGUAAAGGCAAAAGCCCUCCAGUUGCCUUUGGAAGCAAGGGACCUGCAGCUAUUGGAUCUCACAACCACUCCUGUGCCUCAUAGUUCUGGAAACUCCUCCAUAGGGGCAUGUGAAGGAGCUGGGUAGAGACCCCAAAGCCAUCUGAAGCGAGCACGGUGGUCCCUGGUGUGAAGCUGCUGUCCUGGCAUGCAGAGCAAUAUCGCACUGACUCACCGCAGUGACAGCCACACACACGCCUGAGGAGCCCUGGCUCUACCCACCACAAUCUUCACCCACCCAGCUUUGCAGUGCCUCAUCUCCAGGAAACAGCAUCUCAGAGCUGGGAGAUGUUUCCUGACAAAAUAAAAGAGAUGGACAAUAAAACCUUGGCUUACAUUAUUAAGAAAUAGUACAUUUUGUGUUAUUUUUCUUUUCCCUGACAUUGUAUAUUACAAUAUUUUAUAAGUAACAGCUUUUUAGUAACCUGGACUCCAGAUGUACUUAAAUUAUUGUGAAAUGGUUAAAUUAACAUUUUUCCAUGUGGUAAUCAUUCACAGCAGAAAAGGAUCCGGACACAAUGAGUAUUUCCCAUGCAAAAAUAUAACAUAGUUUCCAAGUUUAGAAAGAAAGAAACAAUAUAUGCAUUAAAUAUAAAUCUAUUUUACAGUCAAAACCUUUUGUCACAAAGAUUAAAUAAUUCCCCUGCAGUUCACAAUUUCAAGCAUCCCAAAGUACCUCUGGUUUUCUUUACCCUUAUUGUGCUCCUAAACUCUUCUCCUUUCUCCCAUCAAACAUUUGCAGCCUGGCUUUCCUAGGCAACUACUCCUCAGAGGGAGUGUAAUAAUGUAGAGAUGCAAUUUCCAAUUUCUCUCCUCCAGGGCUCAAUUCCAAGCUUCAUUAAGGUUUGACAAAUAAAUUAGAGUGCUUUGCCACUGCACAAAAUAACCUUCACUUCUAAGGCAAGCCCUGGCAAUUGAAUUGCUUAUCCUCAAAUAUAUAUAUGACACUUUGAGUGCAUCAACAUCAAAACCUUGGAACAACUAACCCAGUUCUAUCUCACACCGUGCUCACUGAUCUACACAUCUCUGUUCAGUCAUCCCAGUCUUUCCAAAAUCUUUCACACCUUUCCCUAGUAGGGCUUCUCUGCCAGAAAAGGCUGGGUUAUAAAAUAACCAAAAUAGUAAAAAAAAAAAAAA